rnacentral:rRNA from 1 species
UACGGAGGGUGCGAGCGUUGUCCGGAAUCACUGGGCGUAAAGGGCGCGUAGGCGGCGCGGGCAGUCAACGGUGAAAGCUUGGGGCUCAACCCCGAGUCGGCCGUCGAUACUCCCGGGCUGGAGCACUGUAGAGGCAGGUGGAAUUCCGGGUGUAGCGGUGGAAUGCGUAGAGAUCCGGAAGAACACCGGUGGCGAAGGCGGCCCGCUGG